GAUAGGAUCGGUAAAUUUGUUAUACGCUACCGGGCUCGUAUUCCGCCAUAUUUAAAUUUUUAAAAUUGUUGCUCCUUAUCUGUGCUUGUUUCCAACAAGUGCCCUUUUAAAUGUCGGGAUCAUUGAGAAGUUCUUUUUUGGAGCUGUAUGGAAUCGCUAGAAUUACAUCACAAAAAGGAAAGAGUUGGGUUCCAACUUUGAUUUCAUGGGGAACUGGUGCUUCUUUACUUGGAUUAUAUUUAACAGAUUGGAGAGUUAUCACAAGCUAUAUUCCUUUCUAUAAAGGCAAAUAUCAACAUGUUAUUCCGAAAUGACCGAACUAAUUAUAGAACAUUAAAGAUCGACAUCUUUCAAAAUGAAUGGUGAAUGAAGUGUUUGACUUCAUUUUGUUUAUAUAGUGGAAAUAUACAUUAAGUUUCAAACUAAA